rnacentral:rRNA from 1 species
UCCCAGUUCAGAUCGCAGUCUGCAACCCGACUGCGUGAAGUCGGAAUCGCUAGUAAUCGCGGAUCAGAAUGCCGCGGUGAAUACGUUCCCGGGUCUUGUACACACCGCCCGUCACACCAUGGGAGUUGGAAAUGCCCGAAGUCAGUGGCCCAACCGGAAGGGGGAGCUGCCGAAGGCAGGUUCGAUGACUGGGGUGAAGUCGUAACAAGGUAUC